rnacentral:misc_RNA from 1 species
UUACAACUCCCAAACCCCUGUGAACAUACCACUUGUUGCCUCGGCGGAUCAGCCCGCUCCCGGUAAAACGGGACGGCCCGCCAGAGGACCCCUAAACUCUGUUUCUAUAUGUAACUUCUGAGUAAAACCAUAAAUAAAUCA